rnacentral:rRNA from 1 species
AUUGAACGCUGGCGGUAGGCCUAACACAUGCAAGUCGAACGGCAGCACGGGAGAGCUUGCUCUCUGGGUGGCGAGUGGCGGACGGGUGAGGAAUACAUCGGAAUCUACUUUUUCGUGGGGGAUAACGUAGGGAAACUUACGCUAAUACCGCAUACGACCUACGGGUGAAAGCAGGGGAUCUUCGGACCUUGCGCGAUUGAAUGAGCCGAUGUCGGAUUAGCUAGUUGGCGGGGUAAAGGCCCUCCAAGGCGACGAUCCGUAGCUGGUCUGAGAGGAGGAUAAGCCACAAUGGAACUGAGGCACGGUCCAGACUCCUACGGGAGGCAGCAGUGGGGAAUAUUGGACAAUGGGCGCAAGCCUGAUCCAGCCAUACCGCGUGGGUGAGGAAGGCAUUCGGGUUGUAAAGCCCUUUUGUUGGGAAAGAAAUCCAGCUGGUUAAUACCCGGUUGGGAUGACGGUACCCAAAGAAUAAGCACCGGCUAACUUCGUGCCAGCCGCCGCAGUAA